AGUUGAACCCAAAGAAGGGGCAUCACAACAGCUGGGACAGGGGAAGCUGUAAACACCAGGAUACCUGAAGGAGACUUCACCACUGAAUCUCACAAGUAUUCUACCACAGUAGUUCACACCAUAAACCUAGGGAACCAGAACAAAUCAAUUUAGAAGCAGAGGCUAAUAAGAAGAAUCUCACGAACAAUGGGAAGACAAAGAAGGAAUCCCCAAAUGAA